GACGAACGCUGGCGGUGUGCCUCAUACAUGCAAGUCGAACGAGAAGCUUCCUUCGGGAAGUGGAAAGUGGCGGACGGGUGAGUACAACAUAGGAAAUCUGCCUUUAGGUGGGGGACAACAGAGGGAAACUUCUGCUAAUACCCCAUAUGAGCUUAGCUGAAAUGCUAAUCUUGAAAGUUCCGGCGCCUAAAGAUGAGCCUGUGCCUGAUUAGCUAGUUGGUGGUGUAAUGGACUACCAAGGCGACGAUCAGUAGCUGGUUUGAGAGGAUGAUCAGCCACAAUGGGACUGAGACACGGCCCAUACUCCUACGGGAGGCAGCAGUAGGGAAUAUUGCACAAUGGGGGAAACCCUGAUGCAGCGACGCCGCGUGAGUGAAGAAGUAUUUCGGUAUGUAAAGCUCUAUCAGCAGGAGAAAUGACGGUACUGACUAAG
rnacentral:rRNA from 1 species